ACAGAUAAAGUAAGAAGAAAUAGAUCAGCAGCUUGAGUUUCUCUCCCCUGACUGAGAGCAGCUCCAGCCUUCACAUGGGUGAACAGAUGUGUGAGGGGCUGGAGUGGCCCCGGCUGCAAGUGGGAAAGCCCUGAGAGUGGUCACUGCCCUGGUGUCAGAGCGACCCAUAACAGCCCACAGUGCUGCACAGACUUGUCCCACCGCUUCUCUCAAAGAGGCAUUGCUCUUUUGAACCAGUGCCAAUGGAGGCUGGCCUAAGCUUUUGCAGCUGAACUGUUAUAAACCGUGUGUUUGUGAGUGAGCACAGAAACUUUCCUCCGGCAUUGUUUUCAUCGUAUCUCAGAGGUCCAUAUGAAUGAAGUCUUUUAGACAAGAAGAGCUACAGGAGCAAGCAAAGUACGCUUGUGGCAAGGAUUUAUAUGCGAGAAGACUAUUGCAGAAAAAGAAGAACUGACGUCACACAUAGGGCUGCCUCGGAUAGUGCCUGAGGAAACACACUGAGUUGGUGGCGCCAAACGGUUUGCACCUUGUUUUCAAUCAAUAUCUGGGACUGUUGAGGAGCUUUGUUUUGCACAAAUAGUUUGCAAGGAGACUUCUCACUCAGUUGCUCUGUCUGACGCAUUUAGUUACACAUGCUGUAUUGAGGAAAACAAUCGAGAUAGUUCAUUGACUCUGUUAUGUAUGCUACAAAUAUUUCCCCUUGUUUAGUGCAACCACAACCACAGCAGUUGCAGUCUCUAUAUAGCAACAGCUCAACACAAAAACUCAGGCAGGUGGAGAACGGCUAAAGACGCCGAGGGUGACUACGGAAAAUGGGAACUGUGAGGCAUGUACUACCUGGGACUGAUGCCAAAUGCUGACAAAAGGCUUCACAGCACAGAUCUGAGAGGAGCCUUUACUCAUGUGCUGUGCAAUGCUCAAGGAACUGUUGGGCAAACUCAAGAUAAAUCUGUCAAACUUGUUACAGGGCACUUUGUACAGCGAAAGAGAAAGAUGUGGAAGUGCCUUCUUGGGUCGUCUGUAACCCGUCUUUUUGCCCGCUGAAACCAUGGCCUCAUUUUGCAUAGGUGACCAGUAUCCGGAUCUGUUUUAAAUACAUGUGUCCAGACUCUGCUUGGCACAAAGACAAUGUCCAUUCCCUGGCACCAAAUGCUGGAAUAAGAUGCAACCUUAGGCCACACAAUGGCCCCCGAUUUCUGCUGAUCAACAUGGACCUCUGCCAACAUGUCAUGAGUAUAUUUGUUUGUUUGUUUCGCUUCUUGGCGCAUAGACAUUCCCUCAUAAUUUCUUUGAUUUGACAUUUCACUACUGGCUAUGCUUACAACAUAUCAGGCUGAAAGCAUGAUUAAAAUGUCUCAUCAGCUGAAUGUGGGCUGAAGUGAAAUACUUUGCUUUUUUAUGCAAUGUGUUAAUUAACUGAUAUAUUCAAAUUGAAAUGCUAGUGUUUUUACAACAAAAGCCUCAUAAUAAUAUAAUAAUAAAAGAGAUCAAGAGUGCAUAUGCCAAUUAAAUUUAUCUGCACUUGGAUCUGGCUCAAAGACUAAGUAGCAUGCCCCUCAGCUGGAUUGGGGUUGAUACCAUUUACUGUCUAAUUAUUUCAACAUCUCAAUCAGAGCUGUGACUCUCUGGUGCCCUCUUCAUGUAACUCCACUGAGCUUGGCCUGACACCACAGGACCACACUAUGCCAAAACAUUUCAAUCACGGCCGACAUUAAUUAGGCCAAAGAGGAAUUCAAAAUGGUAAUGAACUGCCCUGCAUCUUUUCAGCUACCACGGUUCACAUGCUAAUUUAUGCAAAGAACCCAAACUUGACCACAGCACUGUCUGUGCUCACUCAGCUCUACCAGUCGUUGGCUUCUGCGCCCAGACAGUGCCGCUUGUUCCAGACUGUAGCUGGCAUCAUAAACAUGCUACUCCUGCCAAUGGACUUGAAGUGGCUUUCACACUAAACAAAGAUGGCACUUUCCUCCUCUCAGCUUUUUACAGCAUAUAGACUAAAACCCAGACACAUUCAUCUAUAAUCCGCACUCCAGAGAUUUUACACUUUACAGCUGUAGCAUAUGGAUACAGAGAAAACAACAGAACACAAAUGUUAGAAUGUGGUGUCUGCUAAAGGGGAGGUAGAUCAGAUGAUCAUCAUCAUUGUGUUAAGACAUGAAACUGAAGGAAUUGGUCAGGCAACUCAUAUUUUUAAUUUGACUCAUCUUUGAAGUUCAAGCCUGGUCACUUUUGCCACAUAUCUGUACCUCAUUCUCUAAAACAGAAAGACUUACAAGACAAGCUGCAUUUCUAAGUCAGACCAAAGGGUGGGCAUCAUGAUGACCUGCCAAUCUGGAGCUCUCAUUAUUUAAUAAUUCAGUACUCUGCUGUUUAGUACAUCUCUAUACUAAAACACUUUGCCUUUCCCCACUCACUCACUUCUGUGUCUAGUUAUCCUCUGAAUGAGGUGCAUUUAACAGUUUAAGUAGCAGAUCUAUAUUGCUAGUGAUAUUAAAGUGGUGAUACUGUGUAGAGCAAGACAACUAAGAACAGAAUGUAAAAGUAUAGAGACAUGAUUUGGAUAAAAAUAAAAACUGCAAUGAGGUGGAUUUAACAAAUCACAGUUAGGUUCAUACUGGAACAAGAAUUAUGAAAAGUUAUUAUUUUUUGCCCACAGGUGGACACACGUUACUCUCCUGACUGCUUUACUGCUGUCCUUAAGGCUGAGGUAGUAGAUUGAAUAGUUGUGGGGAUCGUGUCCUCCCUCUGAGUUAACUAUACAAUCUACUGUCUUCCCUAAAGAGACGGAUUCAACCACAGAUGGAGAGCUGUGAAGAUGAAAUAAGUUUAACAGAAAUGAUUUUGAGCACUAUUAAUGCAGCCUGGAGUUGAGCCUAGCAAGGUGAGGUAGUAGGUUGUAUAGUUUGUAGGAUAAGGUUUGUCCUACUCAGGCGAUAACUAUACAGUCUAUUACCUUCCUUGAAAGGAACAAUGAGUGUCCGGAGAGCUCACUUUAAAUAGUGCCUUUAUGCCAUCCUGUGGUCACUGACGAGCAUAACAUGGCUUUUUUUUUUCUAUUUUAUCAUAAGUAUUUAUCAUGUAUUAUCAGUCUUUUUUUUCACCAAAUGCUUUAUCAUUACUGCAAUGCACAUUAUUAUUAUUUAUUAUUAUUAUUAUUAUUGUUGUUGUUGUUAUAUAAUAAUAAUAAUAAUAACAAUAAUAAUAAUAAUAAUAAUAAUAUAAUAAUAUAUUUUCAGAUGUAAAACUGUAGACUUGUAAUUGAAUAAUUGUAAUUAGAACUUUGUGCCAUUGAAAAGAGCAGAGUUUAUUAUUUCAGAGUACAGACUGAACAUGAGAAAUGUCAUAAUAUUUGUGUGGUUAACACUGUAAAAUGUAGUACAUACUGCUCUUUACAUGAAACAUAAAACUGAACUGAGACAUUACACAGGUGAAAUGAAACUACACACUUCAGUGGCAUGCCCCCGAAAUAAAUCUUGAGUGUGAUGUGAAAUUACAAUGUUGUACUGUUAUUGAUGGGUCUGUCUGUUUAAAAGAUGUUCAACUGUGAAAACAUGUUGUCAAGCAAGGACAAUCGAGUAAAUAAUAUAUGAAAAAAACUGUACAAUACAUCUACCAGGCAAAUGAAUAUAAAGUGGAAGAUGCAUUUA